ensembl:lncRNA
ACAAAAUUUUAAGAGGAAAUAAGUAGUUUAACCCGUGUAUCAAGCUGUUUAAAAAACCAGCACCACAAAAAGAAAAGGGGGGGUUGGGAUAUUGGUGCCCACGCAGCAGGACAUGGACUUCAUCUGGAGUCUCUCUCUCAGCUCAGGGAUCCAGCUUGCAUGCAGGAGAGAGAUUACAGUCGGAUCUGUGUUGUGGUCUGUUGAACAGCCUGACCCUUCAUGCACGGAUUAGCUCCAGUUACCAUUAAUGGAAAGUAGAGCAUUCGACCAGCCCACAGAGUUCAGUCGGCUUCAGACCCAGAUGACUCCAUUAGCAGCGAGAUGCCCAUCGUGUCUCCAGCAGCUGCUAAAGGUUAUUCUUCUGUGCCUGUUUCACUCCUUCCAGACUCUGGAAACCGAAUCUCCGAUGGGACGUGCAGAGAGGAGAAGCGCUGAUGUGUGUUGGGCUGGAGACAAGGCCCGUCUUUGUGUUGGGAGAGUGAAUGAUGAAUAUGCUCUCUAGACUCGACUUCUCUCUUCCAGCGGCCGCUGAUGUUGGAAAGCUAAGCGGCUCGUUUAGUCACUGCAUGUGUGGUGAAGUAAUAAACACUGCUUUAAAUAUCCUGAACCUCACAAGACAUGCAAUCCAGACCACUCAAGCAUUAUUCAGAAUAAACAGCAGUGAUUGGUGCAUCAUCUUCAUUAUUUUUAUCAGUUUAUGCACACUACUGUAUAGCUCUAUUAAUAAUAUAUACAUUAAAAAG